rnacentral:lncRNA from 1 species
UUGAUUAUACCAGCCGCUCUGGAAUGCAUCAUCAGACGCCAGUGCUGCCUUGACGCCUUCCAGGAAUACCUGUGCUCAUUCAUCCAAGGUAAUGUUCCAGUUAUUAUAGCUUACUUGGUUGUGAGGACUUGUUCUAGCGGAUCCGCAGAAUGGUAGAAUCCUUUCGACCAUUUUCGGAUAGCUGACAGCCCAUUGAAAUGUUUGGCCAGCUCCCAUUGACCAUCCCAGUACCAGCUUGAGCGUUUGGAUGCCGAACUCCUCGGUUACGAGUUUAUGCUGGGCACGGACGUUGUCUUGCACUCUCACCUACAUACACGGACGACAGGACAGGUACUGUGUUGCUUUGUGAGGAGCUUCUUACGUUGGGGAAUCUGGCUUUGUCAUAGGGUGGCGCAGAGUUGCUUGGAGAAGUCGAGAGCCCAUUCCCAAGCAUGUUUGGAACGAUGAUGAAGUAUUUGGAGGGGUCAAGUCCCA